AUACGUAGGGUGCAAGCGUUAAUCGGAAUUACUGGGCGUAAAGGGUGCGCAGGCGGUUCUGUAAGUCAGAUGUGAAAUCCCCGGGCUUAACCUGGGAACUGCGUUUGAAACUGCAGAGCUAGAGUGCAGCAGAGGGAGGUGGAAUUCCAUGUGUAGCAGUGAAAUGCGUAGAGAUAUGGAAGAACAUCGAUGGCGAAGGCAACCUCCUGGGCUAGCACUGACGCUCAUGCACGAAAGCGUGGGGAGC
rnacentral:rRNA from 1 species